rnacentral:rRNA from 1 species
ACUCUUUGGACACUCGUAAACAGGUGGUGCAUGGUUGUCGUCAGCACGUGUCGUCAGAUGUUCGGUUAAGUCCCGCUACGAGCGCAACCCUCGUUCUAUGUUGCCAGCACGUAAUGGUGGGAACUCAUGGGAUACUGCCGGGGUCAACUCGGAGGAAGGUGGGGAUGACGUCAAAUCAUCAUGCCCCUUAUGUCUUGGGCUUCACGCAUGCUACAAUGGCCCGUACAAAGGGCUGCAAUACCGUGAGGUGGAGCGAAUCCCAAAAAGCCGGUCCCAGUUCGGAUUGAGGUCUGCAACUCGACCUCAUGAAGUCGGAGUCGCUAGUAAUCGCAGAUCAGCAACGCUGCGGUGAAUACGUUCCCGGGUCUUGUACACACCGC